UACAUGAAGCUGGAAUCGCUAGUAAUCGCGAAUCAGCAUGUCGCGGUGAAUACGUUCCCGGGUCUUGUACACACCGCCCGUCACACCAUGGGAGGUUGGUAACGCCCGAAGUCAGUGACCUAACCGCAAGGGAGGAGCUGCCGAAGGUGGGGCCAGUAACUGGGGUGAAGUCGUAACAAGGUAAC
rnacentral:rRNA from 1 species